rnacentral:rRNA from 1 species
AGCGAACGCUGGCGGCAGGCCUAAUACAUGCAAGUCGAACGGCUCUUCGGAGCAGUGGCGGACGGGUGAGUAACGCGUGGGAAUGUGCCCUUAGGUACGGAACAACACAGGGAAACUUGUGCUAAUACCGUAUGUGCCCUUCGGGGGAAAGAUUUAUCGCCUUUGGAGCAGCCCGCGUUGGAUUAGGGAGUUGGUGAGGUGAAGGCUCACCAAGCCGACGAUCCAUAGCUGGUCUGAGAGGAUGACCAGCCACACUGGGACUGAGACACGGCCCAGACUCCUACGGGAGGCAGCAGUAGGGAAUCUUGCGCAAUGGGCGAAAGCCUGACGCAGCCAUGCCGCGUGUAUGAUGAAGGUCUUAGGAUUGUAAAAUACUUUCACCGGGGAAGAUAAUGACGGUACCCGGAGAAGAAGCCCCGGCUAACUUCGUGCCAGCCGCCGCCGUAAGAC